UAACACGUAAACAACCUGCCUUCAGGAUGGGGACAACAGACGGAAACGACUGCUAAUACCGAAUAAGUUCCAAGGGCCGCAUGGCCCAUGGAAGAAAAAGGUGGCCUCUACCUGUAAGCUAUCGCCUGAAGAGGGGUUUGCGUCUGAUUAGCUGGUUGGAGGGGUAACGGCCCACCAAGGCGACGAUCAGUAGCCGGUCUGAGAGGAUGAACGGCCACACUGGAACUGAGACACGGUCCAG
rnacentral:rRNA from 1 species